rnacentral:rRNA from 1 species
GUGGGGAAUAUUGGACAAUGGGGGGAACCCUGAUCCAGCCAUGCCGCGUGUGUGAAGAAGGCCUUUUGGUUGUAAAGCACUUUAAGCGAGGAGGAGGCUUACCUGGUUAAUACCUGGGAUAAGUGGACGUUACUCGCAGAAUAAGCACCGGCUAACUCUGUGCCAGCAGCCGCGGUAAUACAGAGGGUGCAAGCGUUAAUCGGAUUUACUGGGCGUAAAGCGCGCGUAGGUGGCUAAUUAAGUCAAAUGUGAAAUCCCCGAGCUUAACUUGGGAAUUGCAUUCGAUACUGGUUAGCUAGAGUAUGGGAGAGGAUGGUAGAAUUCCAGGUGUAGCGGUGAAAUGCGUAGAGAUCUGGAGGAAUACCGAUGGCGAAGGCAGCCAUCUGGCCUAAUACUGACACUGAGGUGCGAAAGCAUGGGGAGCAAACAGGAUUAGAAACCCGGGUAGUCC